rnacentral:rRNA from 1 species
ACGCACGCUGGCGGCGUGCUUAACACAUGCAAGUCGAACGGAAAGGCCCUGCUUUUGUGGGGUGCUCGAGUGGCGAACGGGUGAGUAACACGUGAGUAACCUGCCCUUGACUUUGGGAUAACUUCAGGAAACUGGGGCUAAUACCGGAUAGGAGCUCCUGCUGCAUGGUGGGGGUUGGAAAGUUUCGGCGGUUGGGGAUGGACUCGCGGCUUAUCAGCUUGUUGGUGGGGUAGUGGCUUACCAAGGCUUUGACGGGUAGCCGGCCUGAGAGGGUGACCGGCCACAUUGGGACUGAGAUACGGCCCAGACUCCUACGGGAGGCAGCAGUGGGGAAUAUUGCACAAUGGGCGGAAGCCUGAUGCAGCAACGCCGCGUGCGGGAUGACGGCCUUCGGGUUGUAAACCGCUUUCGCCUGUGACGAAGCGUGAGUGAUGGUAAUGGGUAAAGAAGCACCGGCUAACUACGUG